rnacentral:lncRNA from 12 species
AUUUUGCCUUGUAUAGUUACCUGGUAUGUUAUUUGGUGCAAACAAAUUUAGAAAUGUAAUAUAGUCUUUAUGAACUAUUCCUUCCAUUAUUAUAUAAACUAACUCUUCAAUACAUUUAACUUUAAAUUUGACCUUCUCUGUUAUUAAUAUUGCCAUUUGUUACUUAAAACAAAUUGCAUGCAUAUUAUCAGAAAAUAGGUGUUCCAGGUCUUACAUUGAAUGGCCAAAGAAUGCCCUUCUUUGGGGAAAGGCAUUCUAUGAGCUAUUUUCCAUAUAAGUCUUUAUACUGUUUAACUAGCAUGCAUUUAUGUCAUAAUGCUAUGUAUGUUCUAAGAACAGUGUUCUUGAGUGGUCAGAUGUUCACUGAAACGCUAUCCAGAUGGCAGCAGGCCAGCGAUAUCUGACUUCGGACUACCUUUGCUUGCGGCUCUCUGAUUGAUGCUGGUCCACUGUGAACUUUCAGCGCCCGGCUGGCUAGAUGGAGGCUGCAGCUGGUUCCAGAACCUCAGCAACGCUUUCAUGGAAGCUUCUCCAGAAAAGCUGCUCCAGCUGGGCUCCCCUGGGGCUGGACAACCCGCUAGAGUCCCCAGCGCAGCACCCUGGGGCUCCCCAAGCCCGGAAGCUGAUUUCACCCCGCAGUGUCAGGCUGGCCCUCCCAGGGUGGCCCCUGGCCUGUGGCGCCGGGACGCCAGCUGUGGGGACAUCCCCGCGGUGGCCCAGGGGGCAGGUGCGGCGGGGGCAGGCGCGGUGCGUCCGGGUUCUCCGGGCCAAGCCACAGCCGGUGGCCCCGUCCCUCGCCGCCUACUCAGCAGGGGAGGCGGGGCCGACGACGGCCGUGGACGCGCGCAGGAUGGGGGGCGACGCACGGGAGGCCCACGGCCACCUCCGAGCCCAAGGCCUCCUCGGGGGACGCACAGGCACACGGAGGUCACUGAAGACCACGCGGCCACGCUCCCCUCCCAGGCACAGAGUUGUUUAAUUCAGAAAUCAUGCUGUCCAAUUCAGAGAAGCCUUCUACCUGCUGCAUGUAACUGCAGUUCUUUUUUUUUCUUUUUUCUUUUUUUAAUAUCUGCUCUUCUAACAAUUCUCUUGCACUGGACUUGUGCUAUAAUUUUCCUACCUAUUUUUCCCCCCUCAACUCUGAGACCCUUAGAUUUGUUUUUUAUCUUUAGCAGCUCGUUAGGAUCGAGUCAUGGUGUGGAGAGCUCUAGAUGGCUAGACUCUCUUGGAUAUGGUAAGGAGACGCAGCCUCUGCCCAGGAGGCCUGUGAGUCUCCAUUAAUAGAAAAGGAAGCAAAAUCAGGUUACCAUUUUACCCAGAGCCCUACUGCUAUCCAUACUUUUCCUCAAUGUUUGUUGGGUUUUUUGUUUUUGUUUUUGUUUUUUUUUUAAGAUUUCACCUAUUUAUUCAUGAGAGACACAGAGAGAGAGAGAGGCAGAGACACAGGCAGAGGGAGAAGCAGACUCCAUGCAGGGAGCCCGACGCGGGACUGAUCCAGGGACUCCAGGAUCACGCCCUGGCCGAAGGCAAGCGCUCAACCGCUGAGCCACCCAGGGAUCCCCUGUUUGUUGGUUUUUAAUGAAUUAAUAAAUGAACUAUUUGAGUUUCA